rnacentral:rRNA from 1 species
GAUGAACGCUGGCGGCGUGCCUAAUACAUGCAAGUAGAACGCUGAAGGAGGAGCUUGCUCUUCUGGAUGAGUUGCGAACGGGUGAGUAACGCGUAGGUAACCUGCCUGGUAGCGGGGGAUAACUAUUGGAAACGAUAGCUAAUACCGCAUGACAACAGUUAUUGCAUGAUAACUGUUUAAAAGGGGCAACUGCUCCACUACCAGAUGGACCUGCGUUGUAUUAGCUAGUUGGUGAGGUAACGGCUCACCAAGGCGACGAUACAUCGCCGACCUGAGAGGGUGGUCGGCCACACUGGGAAUGAGACACGGCCCAGAAUCCUAAGGGAGGCAGCAGGAGGGAAUCUUCGGGAAUGGACGGAAGGCUGACCGAACAACGCCGCGGGAGUGAAGAAGGUUUUCGGAUCGUAAAGCUCUGUUGUAAGAGAAGAACGAGUGUGAGAGUGGAAAGUUCACACUGUGACGGUAUCUUACCAGAAAGGGACGGCUAACUACGUG